rnacentral:siRNA from 1 species
GCGCAUAACCAGUCGGCGAA